rnacentral:rRNA from 1 species
UACGAAGGGGGCGAGCGUUGUUCGGAAUUACUGGGCGUAAAGGGCGCGCAGGCGGCCCUUGAAGUCAGGCGUGAAAGCCCCGGGCUCAACCUGGGAGGUGCGCUUGAUACUCGAGGGCUUGAGUGCGGGAGAGGAGAGUGGAAUUCCGAGUGUAGAGGUGAAAUUCGUAGAUAUUCGGAAGAACACCAGUGGCGAAGGCGACUUACUGGACACAUAUUGACGCUGAGGUGCGAAAGCGUGGGGAGCAAACAGG